rnacentral:rRNA from 1 species
UACGUAGGGUGCAAGCGUUGUCCGGAAUUAUUGGGCGUAAAGAGCUCGUAGGCGGUUUGUUGCGUCGGCUGUGAAAUCCCGAGGCUCAACCUCGGGUCUGCAGUCGAUACGAGCAAACUAGAGUGUUGCAGGGGAGACUGGAAUUCCUGGUGUAGCGGUGAAAUGCGCAGAUAUCAGGGAGGAACACCGGUGGGCGAAGGCGGGUCUCUGGGCGAAC